UAUAAAGUGGCUAACGGCUGAGUAACACGUGGGCAACCUGCCCUUUGCACUGGGAUAGCCUCGGGAAACCGAGGUUAAUACCGGAUACUCCAUAUUUGUCGCAUGGCGAAUAUGGGAAAGCUCCGGCGGCAAAGGAUGGGCCCGCGGCCUGUUAGCUAGUUGGUGGGGUAGUGGCCUACCAAGGCAAUGAUGGGUAGCCGGGUUGAGAGACCGACCGGCCAGAUUGGGACUGAGACACGGCCCAGACUCCUACGGGAGGCAGCAGGG
rnacentral:rRNA from 1 species